AGCGCAGGUGGGAUGAUAAGUCAAAUGUGAAAUGUAUGGGCUCAACCCAUAAAUUGCGUUUGAUACUAUUGUUCUUGAGUGGAGUAGAGGCAGGCGGAAUUCCCGGUGUAGCGGUGGAAUGCGUAGAUAUCGGGAGGAAUACCAGUGGCGAAGGCGGCCUGCUGGGCUCUAACUGACACUGAGGCUCGAAAGCGUGGGUAGCAAACA
rnacentral:rRNA from 1 species